rnacentral:sRNA from 1 species
CUUUAUUAUUUGCCUUCUAAAGGAAAAUUGUACAGAAAACUGUGCGACAGAUUCGAGCGGCAUUCAACUGUAUUGGCAGACCUUGUCCUAUGUUACAAAGUUGGACGACAACGCCAGGCAGUUCCGCUGUCGGAUAAAAACAGAAGUAGCCGAAUUAAGGACGGAGACUUUAAUAGUCUUUGUGGUCCAGCCCAUGGCUUCUCUUGUCAUUUUGGGACCAAGUCUUGUUGUUAAAGGAAC